CUGGCGGCGUGCUAACACAUGCAAGUCGAACGCGAAAGGGACUUCGGUCCUGAGUAAAGUAGGCGCACGGGUGAGUAACGCGUAGAUAACCUGUCUUCAUGUCUGGAAUAAUACGCCGAAAGGGGUACUAAUACCGGAUAUUCUUGCUUUUCAUAAGUUAUGCAAGCAAAGGUGGCCUCUGCAUAUGCUACUGCAUGAAGAGGGGUCUGCGUACCAUUAGCUAGUAGGUGGGGUAAUGGCCUACCUAGGCGACGAUGGUUAGCGGGUCUGAGAGGAUGAUCCGCCACACUGGCACUGGAACACGGGCCAGACUCCUACGGGAGGCAGCAGUGAGGAAUAUUGCGCAAUGGGGGAAACCCUGACGCAGCGACGCCGCGUGAGUGAAGGAAGGCCUUCGGGUCGUAAAGCUCUGUCAAGAGGAAAGAAGUGUACAAUGGCUAAUACCUGUUGUAUUUGACGGUACCUCUAAAGGAAGCACCGGCUAACUCCGUGCCAGCCGCAGC
rnacentral:rRNA from 1 species